CAGGGCCUUGCUCAACAAAUAGAGGCGACGCCCUGACUUGGGGCCGUGGCCACCGCGAUAGGGAGGAGGCCAGUGCGUGGGGACUUGCCUCGACUCCAGGGGAGUGGUUAAAGAAUGUGGGCGUGACUAGGUCGUGGGGCGUGGCCAGUGGGUGGGGUGUAGCAGAUGGGGCAUGGCUAUGCCAUGGGGGCGUGGCCUUUGUGUAUAGGAUUGACGGGGCCUCACAGAGGAUGGGGCGUGGCUAUGUCAUGGGGCGUGGCCUUUGUGUGAAGCUUAGGGCAUAGCAGUGGAGGGGCGUGGCUCGGGCUGGAGGCGUGGUCAUCAGGGGGCGUGGCUCGGGCUCAAGGAGGCAUUCCCGGGCGCUCAGGUGAGCGCUCUCUGGAUCUAACAGUCCUUGGGGAGCCGAUGCCGGUGACCGGGCCGCGGGCAGACACGCAGGCGCCCGGAAGACACAGCAGGGCUGCAGCUGCCCAGCCCUCCCAGCCAUGUGGCGCCCGCUGGUCCUGCCGCCCCUGCUGCUGCUGCUCCCCUGCGCACCCGCCCCCACUGCCAGUCCCAUCCAGGCCGCCAAACCCCAGGACGGCCUGCAGAGCCUACUCCAAGGUGCCCAAGCUGGAGGAGACGCAGAGCUGGUGGCACUGGCAAAUCCGGCCCCUCACUCUGGCGGUCCUCCCAGGUCGUGAGGUGACUGCCCUGGCGGUGCAGCCAGCAGCCUGGGAGGCAGGCCUGCAGCUCCUUCAGAAGCAUCCAUGGCCACCAGCCUUCUGCGACAGGCUCCUUAAGGGGGCCCUCCUGGCACGGGGACCUGAGGCCUCCCCCGCCCCAAAGGGCCCGCCCCAAGACCCACUUGUUGUCCCUUUCCGGGCUCAGCAGCAGCCGCAGGGGCCGGGGGUGGACAUCAGAGCCCUGGCAGGGGACAGACGUGCACCCUCCCCAGACCCCACCCCAGCGCCACUGAGAAAUCAAGUUCUUUCUCUCAGCCAUCUGCGCUGCUUCCUCUCGGGACCUGUCCCCAGCACCCGGCCGACUGAAACGAUUUCUUUGCUUUUACAAGCUCCUGAGGCAGGAACCGGUCCUGCUUCCUGCUGUGUUGCCUGAUGCUUACCAGAGAGCGUGGCUCACGCUUAGUUCUCAAAAACAGUUCGUUGUGGAGAAUUGAGUUGAGUUGAGUCCACGGCUGACUGGAGGGACGCCCUCUCUGACGCCCUAGCGCCAGGCUUCCACGUCAGUAUUUCCUAAAACGGUGAUCACGUGAGACUGUUUAAAGAUGCUACAGUCCUGUCAUCCUAAUGCUGAAAAUUGAAGAUAGCACUCACAUGGAUGGAGAGUAAGGAAGAAACCUAUCCUGGACAGAUUUUCCUUUCUUCUAGUCUGGUUUUGAUCUGCUGCAAGACUGAUUUGCUGACAAAGGCAUCUCAAAAGGUUCAUUCAUGGUGGAGCCGCCACUCCUGAGGACCUCACCCAGAAUGGAGCUCGCCUGGGGGAAAAAUCCACAAGCCACCCCUACAGAGGCCAGAGCACGGGGCCUGUGUCCAGAGGGAGAAGCAGGUCGCUAGUGUCAGAUGCUAAUGGAUGACUGACUUACAAUCCUUUCUGUCCAGAUGACGGGUUCUAGCCUUUAUGGUUGCGAAGAAACCUGCGUAGGCUCUUACUGCCAUGUGUGCAUGCUCAAGAGGAAGGGGGAGCAGGUUUGGGGUUCACUCAGGAGGAGGGAAACUGCUUUCCGUAAGGAUGAGUGUGGUCCCCGAAGGUGGUAAAGCCAGCAGGGCAGUGGGGCAGUGGUGUGACGGUGAGUGCCAACAACCGGCUCUCUGAGUGAACACAAAGCCCUCAAUGAUAGCAUUUGCCAAUUUCUAUGGUGUCAAUAAGCCUGCUCUGGUCCAUCUAAAGCUACCAAUGUGAUGUGAACCGGCUCACAAAAUCCUUGAAAAGUCAAGAACUGGCUCUCAGGAGCCAGUAGGAGCCACACCUCCAGCCCUCCAUCUUCACAGACGGUGCCGUCUUCUGCUUCUCAUCUCCUCAGACCGUUUGGAACCGACAUCAUCCAGGCCUUCCUGCAAAGACCUGGGGCAGGUGGGAAAGGAUGCUGCAGCCACGGCCAGUGGGUGGAAGGGCUGUUCUGGUGAGAAAAAGCUGACAGGCCUGACGUCUGAAGUUCUGCAGAAGGCAGAUAAAGGACAGAAUCAUAAUUUCACAAUCAUCUGCCUUGAGUCUUAGAAGGCACACUUUAGAGCAGUAAUCGCGAGAGAUCCUGAUAUGGGUCGUUGUGGGUCAAAGCUUCUGUGGAAGGAAAUUGGCGCAGCUGGUCUGGUCUCCUGAAGCUUCUCAUAGAUUUCAGAAAAGGGUCCCCGGGGGUCUGGUCUCCCCUUGAGCAAGUCACUUGGAAUGGAGGGGAGUCACCGCUCUUCAGACCCACUGGAAGGCAGGGGGUUCCCUCUUCCCCAUACCCCUUCGAGGCCACCCUCUGUGGGGCUGAGGUCACCGUAACAGAACGGAGCUCUUCAGAUCUCUUCCGCUCCUCAGAAAAGACCACUCCCCGUGGCCCUGACCCCACUGGUGCACACAGCCAAUGCCUUUUAGGUCACUGGCAUGCAGCUCUUCAACGGAGUUGUGGCAACAGCUCCCUGUGCUUUUUUUCACUAAAGUGUUACUGUUUGCUAUACAUCAGUUUCCAUUGACUAUAUUUGGGAUGCAUGAUGCCCAGUUACCUGAAAAUGAGGUGCCAGGGAUCCGAUUAUUUACAAAAGUGGCCUUCCUCACUGGAAAAUAAAUUGGGAUCUGGAAAAAUCUUAUGCUGUGGGCAACACUUGUCUCCCACACCUCACGUUUCCUGGAAAGGGAUUUUGACAACUUCCAGGAAGUAUGGACUGCCUUCCCAUGCCCUCCGCCCUUUGCUCACCUGGCUGCACAGUGCUGCUGAGCUCACAGAUGGCACUGAGUACUCCAGGCAGACCCCAGCCAGUCUCCCCGAGGGGACAGCCCGUCCUCAGGUCCUUCUCCCUUCCCUCACAGAAGACCCCUGGCUGGCAGGCACACGUGGGCAGCCCAUGUGGUCCCAGCUCCAGGUGGUGCCUCCCAUUCAGUAUUCGUCGUAAUGAAGCUGGUAUUGUCACUUCCACAUGUCUGACUCCUGUGUGUGUGUCUCUGGAUCGCAAACUCAGCACGGGAAGAGAAAGGUGUUGACUGCCUUCCACGGGCCCCCAGAUGUGCGUUGUUAUGGACACUGGCUGCAUACGUGAGUGUCUGCGUCAGCUUCAACAUCUUUGCUCUGCUCCAUCCUCCGCUUCUCCAUAACAACAGGGCCAAAACUAUAAUUGCCCCCAGAACAUGCAGGAUGCGACACCCCCAGACCUACUGACCACCUGGAACAAUCUGGGGUGGGGGGGGAGGCGUGGCUGUUAAACACACAUAUUU
rnacentral:lncRNA from 1 species